rnacentral:other from 1 species
UACGUCCUGCGAUGUGCGUUUCGGUUCCAAGUUGUUUUGAACCAAUGACGGUUGUCUCGGGAGACCAAUAUUGCUGCAUGGCUGAAAUGCCCUAUCCAUGUUGAUGAGGGGACUUCAAAAGUGAAGUUGCGGUCACCCACCUGCGGGUGCAGGUUCGAGACAGUGAAACCGGACGGCAUAGGCGGGUCUCAA